UACGUAGGGUGCAAGCGUUAAUCGGAAUUACUGGGCGUAAAGGGCUCGUAGGCGGCCAACUAAGUCGGAUGUGAAAUCCCCCAGGCUUAACCUGGGAACUGCAUCCGAUACUGGAUGGCUUGAAUCCGGGAGAGGGAUGCGGAAUUCCAGGUGUAGCGGUGAAAUGCGUAGAUAUCUGGAGGAACACCGGUGGCGAAGGCGGCAUCCUGGACCGGCAUUGACGCUGAGGAGCGAAAGCCAGGGGAGCAAACGGGAUAGAAACC
rnacentral:rRNA from 1 species